AACGAACGCUGGCGGCAGGCUUAACACAUGCAAGUCGAGCGCCCCGCAAGGGGAGCGGCAGACGGGUGAGUAACGCGUGGGAAUCUACCCAUCUCUACGGAGUAACGCAUGGAAACGUGUGCUGAUACCGUAUACGUCCUUCGGGAGAAAGAUUUAUCGGAGAUGGAUGAGCCCGCGUUGGUUUAGCUAGUUGGUGGGGUAAAGGCCUACCAAGGCGACGAUCCAUAGCUGGUCUGAGAGGAUGAUCAGCCACACUGGGACUGAGACACGGCCCAGACUCCUACGGGAGGCAGCAGUGGGGAAUAUUGGACAAUGGGCGCAAGCCUGAUCCAGCCAUGCCGCGUGAGUGAUGAAGGCCCUAGGGUUGUAAAGCUCUUUCACCGGUGAAGAUAAUGACGGUAACCGGAGAAGAAGCCCCGGCUAACUUCGUGCCAGCAGCCGCCGUAACAC
rnacentral:rRNA from 1 species